rnacentral:rRNA from 1 species
UACGGAGGAUGCAAGCGUUAUCCGGAAUGAUUGGGCGUAAAGGGUCCGCAGGUGGCAGCGUAAGUCUGCUGUCAAAGAAUGAGGCUUAACCUUAUCAAGGCAGUGGAAACUACACAGCUAGAGUACGGUCGGGGUAGAAGGAAUUCCUGGUGUAGCGGUGAAAUGCGUAGAGAUCAGGAAGAACACCGGUGGCGAAAGCGUUCUGCUAGACCUGUACUGACACUGAGGGACGAAAGCUAGGGGAGCGAAUGGG